rnacentral:rRNA from 1 species
AUUGAACGCUGGCGGCAUGCCUAACACAUGCAAGUCGAACGAGUGGCGCACGGGUGAGUAAUGUCUGGGAAACUGCCCGUUGGAGGGGGAUACCUACUGGAAACGGUAGCUAAUCCCGCAUACCUUCACUUGUGCCCAGAUGGGAUUAGCUUGUGGGUGGGGUAACGGCUCACCAAGGCGACGAUCCCUAUCUGUUCUGAGAGGAGGACCAGCAACACUGGAACUGAGACACGGGCCAGACUCCUACGGGAGGAAGCAGUGGGGAAUAUUGCAAAAGGGGCGAAAGCCUGCUGCAGCAAUGCCGCGUGGAGGAAGAAGGCUUUCGGGUUGUAAAGUACUUUCAGCGGGGAGGCGUUACCCGCAGAAGAAGCACCGGCUAACUCCGUGCCAGCAGCCGCGGUAAUUC